rnacentral:rRNA from 1 species
UACGUAGGGUGCGAGCGUUAAUCGGAAUUACUGGGCGUAAAGCGUGCGCAGGCGGUUUUGUAAGUCAGAUGUGAAAUCCCCGGGCUUAACCUGGGAACUGCGUUUGAAACUACAAGGCUAGAGUGUGGCAGAGGGGGGUGGAAUUCCACGUGUAGCAGUGAAAUGCGCAGAGAUGUGGAGGAACACCGAUGGCGAAGGCAGCCCCCUGGGUUAACACUGACGCUCAGGCACGAAAGCGUGGGGAGCAAACAGG